rnacentral:rRNA from 2 species
UCGGACACGCUCCGCUAAACCCAUAGGCGCAAUGAAAGUGAAGGCCACCUUCUGGGGGCCGAGGGAGGACGGAGCGGGUCCCCUCGCGGGGACGGCUCCCGCACUCCCGGGGCGUCUGAUUCCUCAUCGCGAGGGAAGGCGCACCCAGAGCGCACACGUUGGGCACCCGAAAGAUGGUGAACUAUGCCUGGC